AAUGUAUUAAGAAUGGUUGAAGGAGCCAUACCCAAUAUCUUCUUUUAGUAAGAUAUUGGGUAUGGCUUCUUCUUUGAAUGAUUUAUUCUAUAUUUUUUUUAUUCCAAAUUAACGACGAGAUUUAUUAUCGUUUCUCGCAUGUCUCGCGAAAGUCAGAGUAGGCGCGAAUUCUCCCAAUUUGUGACCUACCAUACGAUCUGUUAUAUAAAUAGGUAAAUGUUCCUUUCCAUUAUGAAUAGCGAUUGUAUGGCCAAUCAUUGKGGGUAUAAUGGUAGAUGCCCGAGACCAAGUUACUAUUAUUUCUUUCUCCUCCCUCAUGUUGAGUUUUUCCAUUUUUCCCGAUAAAUGAUUAGCUACAAAAGGAUUUUUUUUUAGUGAACGUGUCACAGCUGAUUACUCCUUUUUUACAUUUUAAAGAUUGGCAUUCUAUGUCCAA
rnacentral:misc_RNA from 1 species